rnacentral:rRNA from 1 species
GAUGAACGCUGGCGGCGUGCCUAAUACAUGCAAGUCGAGCGGUAAGGCCACUUCGGUGGUACACGAGCGGCGGACGGCUGAGUAACACGUAGGAACGUACCCCAAACUGAGGGAUAAGCACCAGACAUGGUGUCUAAUACCGCAUAUGCUCUUCGGAGUAAAGCUACGGCGGGUAGGGAACGGCCUGCGCAUGAUUAGCUUGGUGGUAAGGUAACGGCUGACCAAGACGAUGAUGGGUAGGGGUCCUGAGAGGGAGAUCCCCCACACUGGUACUGAGACACGGACCAGACUCCUACGGAGGGCAGCAGUGAGGAAUAUUGGUCAAUGGGCGCAAGCCUGAACCAGCCAUGCCGAGUGCAGAAUGACGGUCCUAUGGAUUGUAAACUGCUUUUAUCCGGGAAGAAACACUCCUACGUGUAGGAACUUGACGGUACCGUAAGAAUAAGGAUCGGCUAACUCCGUGCCAGCAGCCGCCGUAACAC